GCCAGUAUAGUGGCUAUAACCCUCGGCUUUUAACCAAGUGGGUUCAGGUUUGAAUCCUGAGAAAGACA